UCGGGAAUUUUGGGCAAUGGGCGAAAGCCUGACCCAGCAACGCCGCGUGAAGGAUGAAGUAUUUCGGUAUGUAAACUUCGUAAGAAUAGGAAGAAUAAAUGACGGUACUAUUUGUAAGGUCCGGCUAACUACGUGCCAGCAGCCGCGGUAAUACGUAGGGACCAAGCGUUGUUCGGAUUUACUGGGCGUAAAGGGCGCGUAGGCGGUGUGUCAAGUCAGUUGUGAAAUCUCCGAGCUUAACUCGGAACUGUCAACUGAUACUGUCACACUAGAGUACAGAAGGGGCAAUCGGAAUUCUUGGUGUAGCGGUGAAAUGCGUAGAUAUCAAGAGGAACACCUGAGGUGAAGACGGGUUGCUGGGCUGACACUGACGCUGAGGCGCGAAAGCCAGGGGAGCAAAUGGGAUUAGAUACCCCCGUAGUCCCUGAGCGGGCUGGCAAGGCGCAU
rnacentral:rRNA from 1 species